UACAGAGGGUGCAAGCGUUGUUCGGAAUUAUUGGGCGUAAAGCGCGUGUAGGCGGCUUGGCAAGUCGGGUGUGAAAGCCCUCAGCUCAACUGAGGAAGUGCGCCCGAAACUGCUGAACUCGAGUACCGGAGAGGGUGGCGGAAUUCCCCAAGUAGAGGUGAAAUUCGUAGAGAUGGGGAGGAACACCGGUGGCGAAGGCGGCCACCUGGACGGUCACUGACGCUGAGACGCGAAAGCGUGGGUAGCAAACAGG
rnacentral:rRNA from 1 species